UAGGGAAUCUUCCACAAUGGACGCAAGUCUGAUGGAGCAACGCCGCGUGAGUGAAGAAGGUUUUCGGAUCGUAAAGCUCUGUUGUUGGUGAAGAAGGAUAGAGGCAGUAACUGGUCUUUAUUUGACGGUAAUCAACCAGAAAGUCACGGCUAACUACGUGCCAGCAGCCGCGGUAAUACGUAGGUGGCAAGCGUUGUCCGGAUUUAUUGGGCGUAAAGCGAGCGCAGGCGGAAUGAUAAGUCUGAUGUGAAAGCCCACGGCUCAACCGUGGAACUGCAUCGGAAACUGUCAUUCUUGAGUGCAGAAGAGGAGAGUGGAAUUCCAUGUUUAGCGGUGGAAUGCGUAGAUAUAUGGAAGAACACCAGUGGCGAAGGCGGCUCUCUGGUCUGCAACUGACGCUGAGGCUCGAAAGCAUGGGUAGCGAACAGG
rnacentral:rRNA from 1 species